GUGCUCACUUCAGCAGCACAUAUACUAAAGUGGGAACAAUACAGACAAGAUCAGCAUGGCCUGUGCACAAGGGUGACAUACAAAAUUCAUGAAGCAUUCCAUAUUUUU